rfam:Trichobilharzia regenti genome assembly, scaffold: TRE_scaffold0014982
AUCCAGAUGACGAGUCCCAAAUAGGACGAAAUGCGCAUCCUAGAU